CCGGAAUUCAGACGGACAGCAUCAUGCUGAUAGUGUUUAUAAUUUUAUAAAGGUUUUCUGCGGUUUUUGAAUAUUUAUAUAGGAACGGAAAAUGAAUAAGUACUUCAAAAUAAUAAUAAUAAACUUCGUGUUUGUAUUCAACCGUACGCGUUCAGUCUCGUGACUAUAAUGGACAAUAUAAUAUAAGUAAUAAUAAUAUAACGCAAUGGCUUAAUAAAAUAUAACCCGUGAAACACAAGACUGUAAUUAUUACCUUCAAUGACGACCGACGGGCCAUUUGAAGGCGGACGUUUUUCGUCUCUCGCACCCGUAUAUGAUAUAUUAUGCAGCACGGCGCAGGGUGCAGGUUAGUACACAUAGAAGAAAAAACCAGAAACAAAAUUGAAUAACACUGCAGCGUACAUGUCUUACACCCAAUUUGGCUGAAGAGGAUUGCCCAGAGCAUAAAUCAUCUUCCGAUCAUUCAUGAUAGAUCAAUUCAAACCUUUGAUCAGACCGCCUUUUACCGCGAAUUCAUGCGGAUCGAUUGCUUUAUCGCUCGUCAAUGUCAAUCAUUGUGAAUACAAAAACACGAUUUUUAAAAACCUUUUGCGUUACUACGAAACGCGCAAAUAACAUACGGUUUGUAAUUUGCACAACAUACUUAACCAUAAU